rnacentral:rRNA from 1 species
CCCUGAUGCCUUAGUAGCGGCGAGUGAAGCGGCAAAAGCUCAAAUUUGAAAUCUGGCUCUUUCAGAGUCCGAGUUGUAAUUUGAAGAAGGUAUCUUUGGGUCUGGCUCUUGUCUAUGUUUCUUGGAACAGAACGUCACAGAGGGUGAGAAUCCCGUGCGAUGAGAUGAUCCAGGCCUAUGUAAAGUUCCUUCGAAGAGUCGAGUUGUUUGGGAAUGCAGCUCUAAGUGGGUGGUAAAUUCCAUCUAAAGCUAAAUAUUGGCGAGAGACCGAUAGCGAACAAGUACAGUGAUGGAAAGAUGAAAAGAACUUUGAAAAGAGAGUGAAAAAGUACGUGAAAUUGUUGAAAGGGAAGGGCUUGAGAUCAGACUUGGUAUUUUGUAUGUUACUUCUUCGGGGGUGGCCUCUACAGUUUAUCGGGCCAGCAUCAGUUUGGGCGGUAGGAGAAUUGCGUUGGAAUGUGGCACGGCUUUGGUUGUGUGUUAUAGCCUUCGUCGAUACUGCCAGCCUAGACUGAGGACUGCGGUUUAUACCUAGGAUGUUGGCAUAAUGAUCUUAAGUCGCCCGUCUUGAAAACACGGGACCA